GCUCAGGACGAACGCUGGCGGCGUGCCUAAUACAUGCAAGUCGAGCGAACAGAAGGGAGCUUGCUCCCGGAUGUUAGCGGCGGACGGGUGAGUAACACGUGGGUAACCUGCCUGUAAGACUGGGAUAACUUCCGGGAAACCGGAGCUAAUACCGGAUAGUUCCUUGAACCGCAUGGUUCAAGGAUGAAAGACGGUUUCGGCUGUCACUUACAGAUGGACCCGCGGCGCAUUAGCUAGUUGGUGGGGUAAUGGCUCACCAAGGCGACGAUGCGUAGCCGACCUGAGAGGGUGAUCGGCCACACUGGGACUGAGACACGGCCCAGACUCCUACGGGAGGCAGCAGUAGGGAAUCUUCCGCAAUGGACGAAAGUCUGACGGAGCAACGCCGCGUGAGUGAUGAAGGUUUUCGGAUCGUAAAGCUCUGUUGUUAGGGAAGAACAAGUGCGAGAGUAACUGCUCGCACCUUGACGGACCAACCAGAA
rnacentral:rRNA from 1 species